rnacentral:tRNA from 1 species
GAAGUGCUAAUUAAAUCAUAAUAAUGCCUUGUCAAGACAUAAUUACAGGUUAAACUCCUGUGCAUCUCU